rnacentral:lncRNA from 1 species
AAUAAUUUAGUAGGAUAUCUAUAUGCCAAUACAUGGGACUCUGUCACCAAAUAAAAAGCAUAUGAUGUGAUCCUGGAGUCCCGGGAUCGAGUCCCACAUCAGGCUCCCUGCAUGGAGCCUGCUUCUCCCUCUGCCUGUAUUUCUGCCCCCCACCCCAUCUCUCAUGAAUAAAUAAAUAAAAUCUUUAAAAAAAAAAAAAGCAUAUGAUGUGGCUUCACUCUGACAAAUACUGGGAAACACUAACUUGUUUUGUCAUUUUGUUGUGGUGUUACAGAGCUACAAUCAUUAGCCCAGACUAUCAUCUAUGAAAUGCUUGUGUACAGGUAAUUACAAUGAUAGAAUGUCAAGUAUGGACCAAUACAGCCAGUGGUGUGUGAACACUUAGAGAUCUGAUGAUCCACCAGCUAUAUCAAGCCAAAGGAAAAUUCUCAUUUGAACAGAUUCAUUCUUCGACUCCAUGAGACAAGUACCUCGCUCUCCUGCUUCACUACCAGCCUCCAAAGACAGCUUCAGCUGAAGGGCUGUUGGUCCCGCCUCCUGUACUUUCAGAAUAGAGUGCUGGAAGACCAAAGGAUGAGCACAUUUGUUAUCCUGAAAAAGGAAAGAACAGAGUUGUUACAACUCAUUGCUGGGGGGAAUUAAGUAUGUCCUAAGUGACCUAAGUCCUGUGUGACUCCACAGCAAGAAGACUCUUGGAAACGUAUGCCUGCUGUCCCUGGACUUCACCCCAUGUGCUGUUUCCCUUUGUGGAUUUUGCUCUGUAUCCUGUUGCAAUAAAUCACAACUAU